AUUGAACGCUGGCGGCAUGCCUUACACAUGCAAGUCGAACGGUAACGCGGGGCAACCUGGCGACGAGUGGCGAACGGGUGAGUAAUGCAUCGGAACGUGCCCAGUAGUGGGGGAUAGCCCGGCGAAAGCCGGAUUAAUACCGCAAACGACCUACGGGUGAAAGCGGGGGACCGGAAGGCCUCGCGCCAUUGGAGCGGCCGAUGUCAGAUUAGGUUGUUGGUGGGGUAAAAGCCUACCAAGCCGACGAUCUGUAGCUGGUCUGAGAGGACGACCAGCCAAACUGGGACUGAGACACGGCCCAGACUCCUACGGGAGGCAGCAGUGGGGAAUUUUGGACAAUGGGGGCAACCCUGAUCCAGCCAUGCCGCGUGCGGGAAGAAGGCCUUCGGGUUGUAAACCGCUUUUGUCAGGGAAGAAACGCUCUGGGCUAAUACCCCGGGGUAAUGACGGUACCUGAAGAAUAAGCACCGGCUAACUACGUGCCAGCCGCCGCCGUAACAC
rnacentral:rRNA from 1 species